AAUAUGACACUACAUCAUCAAUAUAAGAGGAACAUCCUGGGAGGAAGAAGAAAACUAUCGACAAAGAGUAUUCCGAACAGAAUAAUCUUUCUCUGUCUCCUUGUGUUUCCCAUCAUUUCAUUCACUUUAUGUAUAAAUCAGACAGAUCGGAAUUACGAGUGGGAUAUCGAUUUGUUUUCUGGCAAGAAUUAUGUGAAUGACAUUCAAGAAAUAAGGCGCGGAUUAAGGAUCGUUAAAUGGCAUAUUAGAUGUUUUGCAGCGAGGAACCUCCGAGCUAUGUCCUGAUGCCAGUUAUCUCAGCUGGUGACCAUUUCUACAUAAACAUCACUUGGCGUAGAGUUCGUGACAGGAAAGAAUUUAUUGGAAUGACAGAACUGAGAAAUAAAGCUAUGCUACACAAUCGAAAUGAUCUCACUCAUACAACUCACUUUUUACAGGAUGAAAUUUUACUUGAUUACAGUUUGAUUUUCAUGUACUUUUAGACACAUAUAUACCCAUUUUUGUUCACUACCUAGUAAAUUGAAAUCUUGUAUUUGAAUGCUAUUAAUGUGCUAGGAAUACAGUUUAAGCUUUCAGACGUAAAUAAAUCGAUUUGUUCUAUUAAUAGCUGAUAUUUGGAAAUUGCUUAUUCAUCAAUAUCAUAUACAUGUAUUAAUAUCAGCCAUGUAUUAAGACAAUUUGGUUCUCAUUUAAUUAAAGAUAUAUCACAAUUCUUGUCAACAACAUAUCGUUGAUAUAAAACCUAUUUCAUUACAGGAUUAUUAAUAAUUAACCGAAAAUUUUAGUUGUGCGGGUU